rnacentral:rRNA from 1 species
AUUAAACGCUGGCGGCAUGCCUUACACAUGCAAGUCGAACGGCAGCACGGGAGCUUGCUCCUGGUGGCGAGUGGCGGACGGGUGAGUAAUACAUCGGAACGUGCCCUGGAGUGGGGGAUAACGCAGCGAAAGCUACGCUAAUACCGCAUAUUCUGUGAGCAGGAAAGCAGGGGAUCGCAAGACCUUGCGCUCUAGGAGCGGCCGAUGUCGGAUUAGCUAGUUGGUGGGGUAAAGGCCCACCAAGGCGACGAUCCGUAGCGGGUCUGAGAGGAUGAUCCGCCACACUGGGACUGAGACACGGCCCAGACUCCUACGGGAGGCAGCAGUGGGGAAUUUUGGACAAUGGGCGGAAGCCUGAUCCAGCCAUGCCGCGUGAGUGAAGAAGGCCUCGG